rnacentral:lncRNA from 1 species
UCUCACGGUGGUUGCUUCGUGCCUCUCGGUCUCACUGGCUCCUUUGAGGUCAUGCCUGGGUUCAGGCUAAAUGAAGUAGUUGUCAGUAGGUACGUCAAAGUCAGGGAGCAUCAAGGGCACUUGACUGAGAACUGGUUUGCCAGGCUUCCCCGGCCUUUACCACAGUGCUUCCUCCAGGCCUGUACCAUGAACUCUAUCUCCCUUUGUCUUCAUAUACUCUUGUGUUUGACCAUUGUAUGUCAGGCUGUGCCCCUGUACCCAAGGUCACGCAGUAGAGUAGCUGGAACAUUGCUAGUGAGUGAAGAGUGUCUCAUUAGUGACGGUCGUGGUACAACAGCUUCCAAACCUCUCUGAGGAGGGUGCCCCUUCCUGGAGAGGAUCAAAUCUGGGAGGAUUUUCCAAGACUACAGUGCAACAUGGAUCCCUGCUUCAAACCCUCGUUAAUUUUUCUGACCCUGUGUUGGAUAGGCAGCAAGGAAGCUGCAAGCGGGCUCUAUUUUCUGGUGCUUUCCCCA